GCGCUCGGGCAAGAUGGCGGCGAGCAGGGCGGGUGUUUUGGCUGGACGGCGGCGGGCGAGGGCAGAGGCGCGCUGGAGUCGAGCAUGUGGGGGCCGCGGUGAGGCGAGGGCCCCGGUUCCUCCCCAGCGCGGGCCGGGGCGUGCGCUCGCCCCUGCGGACGCAGCCUGGAGGAGCGGGGGGGCAGGCGGGCCCCGGAGCGGGAUUAGGGCACGGCGUCGGCGGGAGGACGGCUCCUGAUGCAAUAGGCGUGCCCGAGAGUGCUGGUAGGUCAUGAAGGAGUUUAAAACCUCUGGACCAAAUAGGGUUAAGGUCAACUUGAGUUAGAUACGAUUAGUGCAGCCCCAAGUUAUUUACUUGAGAAUUGUGGCUAGGCAAGCAAGAAGAUGGGUAGAAGACAGAUGCUCCUGGACACCCUGAGGCCUCCCCUGCCCCCAGGCACAGACUGUGGGUACCAGCCGACCUGGGCACCAACUGAUUGGAACCCCCGCUGAGCCCUGCUCCCUCCUGUACAGCUGCCCUAAAGCCAUGAGUUUCCCUGGUGCAGCAUGUGUCGAUGGGUCCUCCAUUGCCUCUGACAUCUCCCCAGGCGCUCGUACGCUGCGCAGGGGUCUGGAUGUUUCCAGCAGCGGCACAGCAGCCUGAUGCCUCCUCUCGUCUGGGAUGCGGGGCCCUUGGUGAGUUCCCUGCUGCCUCCUCUGGCGUCCUCUGCGAGCUCAUAAAUCCCCCCUCCUCCUCCUCCUUCUCCUCCUCCUCCCCCUCCCCCCCCACCCUGUCUGGUGGGGUGGGAGACCCGUGGCUCCUCCUGCCAAGCUGACAGCCACGUGGGGCACCCCUAUGCGCUCCCUACGCAUCUGGGAUGGCACCCCUGCCCUGAGGGCCCCGCAGAGUCCCACCCUUCCUGCAACCACCCCCCCAAAGCCAUUAAACCACACAAUAUCAGGUAAAAAUAUCAGGUAAAAAAAAGGAUUAUUUUUUAAACUAAUACUUGACUAAUUUUGCUCCUUUCCCAGUAUUCUGUAGAGAGUGGCUAUUUUAAAAAGUUAACCAAGUCUGUGUAGUUUUAAUUAGGUGUAUUAAAAAGAUAAAAGAAGGAAAUAUAGCUCACAUUCAAGCACUCAAAUAUGUGAAAAUAGCUGAAAUUGCUCUUACUGCACUAAGCUCAUUAAAUUGACUUGCUGGAAUGUUGCAUAUUAGAAUGAUCAGACCAGAGUGUUAACAGCUUUAAUGCUUUUAUCUGGUGCAGUUCGCCCACCUCCCCACCUGAGGGUUACCGAGCAGGCACAGUCGACUUCCUUUCCGAGGGCUGUGAUGCCGGGCUUCGUGCUGGUGUGUGAACUGCUGCUGUCUGUGCUUAGUGCAAAAAAGAGUAACUAAGACAGACCUUUGUGGUGAGAACCCUUGAUAAAGUUCUGUCGGGAACGCAUCCCGCUGUCCUCGAUAGAAAAGCCACCCUAGAUCUCAAGUUUGAUUCGGUAACUGAUUAAAUGGAUUCUGGUUUAGAUCACGAAUAUAUCACAUAGUCAAAAUUGUGCAAUAUUCUCCAUGAACAGUUAAAGUGAUUAUUUCAUUUUAGACCUUGAAUAAGGAGAUUGAAUGAGCUGGUAAACAUUACUUGGUGUUAAGAUGGUAUGAAAAUUUAAUAUCUUUAUUCUUCAGUCUCGGUGCUGCAGGAGUCUCUCUCUCAUCCUGGUAGAUAAUAUUAAUUGCUGUUUCUCUACCUAUGGAGCAUAUGAGAUUUGCCAUGCAAGCUCAGAAUGAAUGCAGUUAUCCAACAACCUUACACAUUUAGAAAAUACUUUCUGCAGCCAAGACAUAUAGCAAUGUUAUAGCGUAUGUACAACCUAAAAAGACGGUUUCCAGAGAUGUAUAUGUAUACAAGUUUCAGCCUUCUGGGUGUGUGACUAUUCAGAGACUCCCAGCGAACUGUGUCCAGGUUAGCCUGUAGCCAAACAGGCAGACCCAGCACACUGUGCCUGUGGUGUGUUCAAGCCUAAAGAGACUUCAGGUGCACUGUCAUCACCGGGUAUCAUGCUGACACGGUGUCCACAAGGGGUGGAUCUUUUCUGGGCAAUUCACAGCUGCUCUUAGACUACCAAAUAGUCAGAAUCCUAUACGGAAUUAUUAAUGGUUUUGCUACUGGAAAAAAAGAGAAAGACAGAGUACUUGAUCUGCAUAUUCAUAGCCUGAAAGAACAAAAAAGAUAUGGGAUACAGAAAAAAGAAAGAGGAUAAUAAUUUAUUUAAACAUAAAAACAACAUUAAACUACUGCUUCAUUGUUCUACUACCUUUGGCUCACAGAGCUUAAGUUCCUGGGGAAGCAUGGUAAGGGGAUGAAAUAGGAUUUUUUUUCAGUUUUUUUUUAGUAGCAGACUAGUGAAGGUGAUAUGAUCAAGGUCCCUAAUCUUUUUUUUUUUUUCCUCUACCCAAGAAAACUCAGAAGGAUACAUCACUGCUUUGACAGAGAUGGGGAUAAAACAAAAUCAAAAAAAAAAAAGAGCUCCUUUUUCAGGAGCAAUUCCCACUUACUGUGAUUUGAGCUCCUUUUUCAGGAGCAAUUCCCACUUACUGUGAUUUAAGCACCCACUCUGAAGUUCUGGGACUAAGUACAUGGUCCAUAUGCUCUGACUACAAAAAACACUGUCCACAGAGAGCAAGGUCACUGUGAUUACCUAUGUAAAGUUUCCUUCAGGAUGCCCGUUAUCUGGAGAAACCCGUUGUUGCACAUGAUCUAUCUUAUAUUUUCUCAACAUAUAAUACAGCGAUUUCUCAACAUAUAAUACUUGAAGACCAAUAUAAAUAUUGUGUAGAAUGAUACUUUCUAAGUCAUUAAUUUUAAAUCAUAAAUCAAAAAUAUUUUAAAAAGAGAGAUUUGUUCUGCAUUGUCAGAGAAUAACUACUUCUAAAAUAAACUAAAAAGGCUCUAUAAAUGAAUAAAUUUUGCAAUUUUUUGCCUUCAAUAGUGUUCAAAGGUUAAAAAUGAAUUAAAAUUGUAAAAUAAGUGCACUAGCUACUUAUUUCAUUUAUUUUAUCUUUCCCUUUCCUCCUUUGAAUACUCUUUUCCUUAAAUUGUAUUUUCCAGAUAUUGCUAUAUUCCAGUUGUACUUUCUCUUUUUCUAAUAUUCUCUUCGUAAGUAUCCCCUUAAAGCACUUUAAAAAGUAUCUGACGAAUAUCGCUGUUUCUCUGUAUUAUGUGAAUGAUGUUAAUUAUCUUUACUUUUUAAUGGUUUAAAAAUUCAACUUCCCUAACUAAGAGUAUGUUUUUAAAAAAGUAGCGAUUGCACAGGGGAUGCUCCCAUUUUCUAUUUUUGCUUUUCUAGAUUAACGUUCAAAUAUUUCCUGAUAGAAAUGUAUGUUUUUGCAGGUGGAACAUUCCUCUGAUAGGUACAUUUGGUAUUGAAAUGAGUUAGUCCCGUAUAAAUCCUGGCAUAGGACUUUCUUCACUAGUUUUAGAUGGAUCUCUUCUUUCUCAAAGGUAUGGCACUAGGUGAGAAAAAGGUGCCGUCAACCUGUAGUUAUAUUUAUACCCGUCGAGGGGUGGGGAUCUUUAUGUAGAAAGGGGACACACAAAAGUGUAGCGAAGGGGCAUAUUUUUCUAAAUGUGCCCAGGAAACCUAUGAGAUAGGUGACACAGAGAAUUCAGAGGCCUUAAAACAGUGUCACCAUUUGAAAAGCAAAUUAUAAGCUGCAGGAGUGUGUGCACUCCUGCAAUGCUUAACAUAACCACAGUCUUCACUUUGAAGUAUGCCUGACUAUUGGCUUACAUCCCGUUUUCAUGUAGCAAUAUCCAGGGUAACACAAAUCUGGCUCCAACUGUAAUGUACGUAGGAGACAGCGAGUAUUAAGACACCAAAGAAUUCAAAAUGUUUGAAUCUGGAAGGACGAAAGAACAGCGUACUCAGUGAUCAGCCUUUCAGGUGAAGGAGACAACAGCUGUGGUUUUGGUCCCUGUUCCCUUGAUUAUUUCUGUAUGCAUGGGUUAGUGACUAUCUCAUCUAAUUAAAAAUAAACACUGUGAUCGAGGAUCAAAACUCACAGGUCCCUCUUUUCCUUGACAAAGCCGUAACUAAAUGCUGUUGAAUAUGUGUGAUAUGUUAUGUGCAGAGCCCUUUAAGAUUCCAUCUGAUUUCUUUGAUCUUGUUUUAGGGUGCUUUCAGUGUAUUUCCAGUGAGCUAUAGUUUGCUCAAAUAUGUAUAUGUAUUUAUGUAUAUGUUAACAUAUAUAUGUUUUAAAUUCCUCUUCCCUUUGCAUUACUCUACUGAUUUUUUUUCUUAUAACUGUCUCCCAUGUCAAGAAGAUUUAACAAAAUGAAAAGUAUGUCUUCAUAGGAUAAAGACACAUUUUUGUUAGUUACCGUAAUACAGACAUGAAAGGAAAGAUAAAAGAAAAGAGAAGUAGUUCUUCAGAUAAAGUCCGUUAAGUAUUCAUAAUGUGAUGACAUAGGUGAUUGUGAUAUUAUCUAGACAGAAGAGCUCUGCCGAAGGUAGCUUUCAGACAAUUAUAUUGGUAAAAAGAAAAACUGGUAAAAGCUGAUGAAGUCAUUAAAUUUUCAAAAGUUACAAAUUAUCCUGUAAAGCUUCAGUGACUGCAAAUUAGCCUUUGCUAUAGCCCUCUGCUAACAAGCUAUAGAUCAUUUUAUUAUUCAUGAAUUUUAGUAAUUUCAGGACACCACAGGUCAUCUUAUGCUCAUUUAUUUGCUAAACACCUUGUGCUGGUAUGCCUAUGCUGAAAAAUUGCUACUAUUUACUUCCCGUGAGACAAGCAAGCAACAAACUGGUGGAUUUGGCCCCAGACAUCCACUCUGCCAGGCAACAUAUACAUCUUGCUGUCAGUGAAAUAAAUGAGCCCUUAAAUUGGCUGCAAAGCUUUAAGAGCUGAAAUUUGUAUGUCUAGUUAUCAAACAGAAAGUUCAGAACACCUGCCAAUAUGAAACAUAAUUAUGACAAGCUGUUACAUUUUACCUUUAAUUUUUCAGCUUUAACACCACAACUUCAUUAUAAGAAUCUCCUCCUCCCUGCCCCUCCUUUCUCCCUUCCCCCAGACUCAGCUCCCCUCCCAAAAAACGCUCACUGCAUUCCAUUGUAAAUGCUGAGUUAACGCUAAUACACUGGGUCAUCUAUCAGCAGACAAAAAAAAAAGUCAGACAUAUUAAAAAUGCUAGGAUUCCUCCUAAGAAUAACCACAAAUUUUCACAGAUUACCAAAAAUGGCUAACUGUGUGUAGAUACCUGACCUUUAUAACCGCCUUUGAAGGCUUUUCAGAGAAAGUCAAAAAUCAUGAAACAGACUUACAGAUUCCUUGUUUUGUUUUUUACUUGAAAAAAUCGAUUCAAUUACUUCUAUCUUAUUUCACUGACCGACUUCAUUAUCUUUCCUUUUGGGUCGCAGAGCCCUACGGCACAGGUUUUUGCCACAACAAAUCCAACAAUUGAUAAGCUGUUUGCUGUUUAUCCAAAUGUUCAUGGGAGGGCAAAAAAAGAAAAAAGCCACCAAAAAUAAAUGUUACUCUUCUUUAAACCCACUUUAAACUAUGCCCUGUGUGCACUAUAACUAAAUAUCUUCCCUUGUGUGCAUGUAUACCUCUGUGUUACAAACCACAAACAGCUAUGUGAGAAGAACACUAUUUAAAGGAAAGACUUUCUUCUUAGCUGUCAAGGAAGAUAAUAUCUAGGCUAAAAUUCAUUUCAACAUUUUUUAUAGAUAUAUAUAUAUAUGUAUAUAUACACAUAUACACACAAUAUGUAUAUAUCAAUAUGAAGAGCUUAAAAAUUACAACCCUUGACCAAUUGCACCCUUCUGGUCAAUAAAGUAAAUAUGAGCAAUAUGAGAAACAAAUCAAAUGUAUGAACUUUACCUCUUUUAUUACUUUGACCAUAUUAUUUCUUUUUUUAUAGCACCUGCAUACUGUAUUUUCAUUCAAGAAAUUUGAUUGCGGAUAAAGUAGUCCCUACAUGUCAUAGCAAAAAAAUGACACACUAGCCAAAGUUUAAGUCAAUGUAUUAGUCAAAACACACCUUCUUUUCUUCUUUUUCUGACCUUUUGCUACAGACAUAGAAAUCUCACAUAUAUUUUGGGGUUAACAGGACUUCAGCAGGGCAAUCUGUGUUUUAAGCAGGGUUUCUUGCUGGUUCAGAUAUAUUGUUUGUUCAGUGUUGGGAUCCUAUGUAUUCAUACUGCGUUUUGUGUACUGAUAAUGAAUUAAAACAGCAGAAAAUCAUAUACGUAUAUUUUAAAUGUGACAUGUCUGAUUUCAUUUUAAUGUGAUUUGAAAUAUUUCACCCUGAAUUUAUAAAAAAAAUCAUUAGCACAGCUAUACGCAUUGUCUUUUCAUGAUUUUAAUUUCUUAUUCUUCAAUUAAAAAUAUGCUAAAAGCAGAUUUUGCUUAAAUUCUGAGAUAGUUUGGAUAGACUUAGGACCAAAUUGUGGCUGCUUUCUGUGUGCAAGCUUUGACUAGAAAGGUGACACAAACAAACAUUUCUACCUGGUUUUCAAGGAUAUGUCAAUAAGGUCUAUUCACACCAGUGCACCAUUUAGCACCACCUGCGUUCAUGGAAAUCCAGAAGUAGCACAUGCCUCUGUUCACAGAAAUCUCAGCCAGCUUUCUCUGAUGCCUCGUACAACCAUCACUGCAGCCACCACUGUCGAGCUAAUUCAACUCUUCCAAAAAUCAGCAACUGCUGAUAAAUUCUUGUCUUAAUAUAAAAGUUGUGUUUCAA